AACCGCUGAUGACUCUUACUUUAUUUUUCUGACACCUCGUAUGAGCGCUGCCCAGCAGUGCCUGAUUAUAAAUUACACUCUGAGGUUC
ensembl:snoRNA Small nucleolar RNA SNORD60